rnacentral:rRNA from 1 species
AACGAACGCUGGCGGCGCGUAUUAAGCAUGCAAGUCGAACGGGAACCCGGGGGCAACCCUGGGGGAGAGUGGCGAACGGGUGAGUAACACGUAGGUGAUCUGUCCCCGGGUGGGGUAUAGCCCAUGGAAACAUGGGGUAAUACCGCAUGAGGUCCUGGAGCUUGAAGGCUUCUGGAUGAAAGGCGCAAUUGUGUUGCCUGGGGAUGAGCCUGCGGCUCAUUAGCUAGUUGGUGAGGUAAAGGCCCACCAAGGCGACGAUGGGUAGCCGGCCUGAGAGGGUGGACGGCCACACUGGGACUGAGACACGGCCCAGACUCCUACGGGAGGCAGCAGCUAAGAAUCUUCCGCAAUGGGGGAAACCCUGACGGAGCGACGCCGCGUGGACGAAGAAGGCCGCAAGGUUGUAAAGUCCUUUUGCAGACGAAGAAUAGGCUUAGGAGUGGAACGCCUGAGCGAUGACGUUAGUCUGCGAAUAAGCCCCGGCCAAUUACGUGCCAGCCGCCGCCGUAACAC